rnacentral:lncRNA from 1 species
UUUCUGGUGAAUCUUAACUAAAUAUUAAGCUACAGCUUAAUGUUCAACUUAUCAACCAUCUGAGGGAUAAAUAGGGUCAGUCCAGAUUAAAAAUUUCUAUUACACUGUAUAAUUUCGGUCUGUGUUUACUUGUUGGUGUAUUUAUAUACAGAAUUAAUAUUUCUAAUACAAAUUUUCUUACUAAUUAUAAUUUUACUUUAGGAGACAAGAUAUAUUUUUAAAUAAACAAAUUCACUCUACAUAAAUAUAACCAGAGAUUUAUUUUCAAAGAAGUUAAUUCUGGAAGGCAUUAUGACUUUUAUCUUUAAUCAUGGAAACAAACUUUUGUGGAACACCUGUAUUUGAGACAUAGGAAAAGACUUCCUGAUAAUUUUUAAAAAUCCAUUUCAGUUUUUAACACCUACGUAUUUUUUCCUAUGUGCAAAAUAUCUGAGGAAGAAAUCAAAAUAGUUAAAUAAUCCAGAAAUUACAUUCAGUCAAUAAUGUCAACUUAAGACAAACUGUGAUUUGGGUUGUAUUUUAUAAGUUUGUUUUUCCUUUUAACUGAAUGUAUACGAUGAUUUGGUCAAGUUGCUUGGAUUUGAUUUAUGCUGAAAUAACACUCAGAAUCAAAACAAAGCUUGGUCCAAAUUCCAGAAAGUAGGGUAAUUCCCUAAGUGUAACCUGAUUGAAAAUAUAUGAAAAUUUACUCUCAUGUACAAAAUAACCAUUAUGGUUUAGGAGAAAUAGAAAUUAUAAGCUAAUGAAGAUAGAGACUUGGCAAUUUACUAAAGGAUCCAAGAGUAUUUAUAGCUUAUUUUUUAAACUGAUUAAAAAUGUGUCAAAAUAUUACAUUCUAAAUAAAAGUUUUGAUUAAAUUAUUUCAUUCACUAGCUUUGAGGCAUGGUUAAAGUGAAAUAGAGUUCAAAGAAAGGGAAGAAGUAAAUUGCUAAAAGAGUAAAACCAAUUUUGAUGAAUUAAGUCAUAGUUAAAAGAGAAAAAGAAAGACAGGUGAAAAUAAGAUUAGGCUAGAAUAGAAGAAAAAAAUGAGAAAAAGUCUAACCUCAGUAAGUAACUAGAAAGUAAGACUUGAGAUUAAAUAAUUCCAUAGGUAUGUCAUAGUUCAAUUGUACAUUUCAUGAAAUUCUAAUUCUAAUUUGAUGAAAGAUAAUUCCAGGAAAUUUGCAUGCUAUUAUUAAAUCACUUUAAGAUUUUUCUCCAAAUGUGUUAUAUUAGAUAUACAUAUAUGAUAUAUGUCAAUUUAUAUAUAUAUAAAUAUAGCUCUCUCCUCUUUGAGAUAUAUACGAUUUUAGUAGGUUUCUGAGGUCACUAGUUGUCUCCAUUUUCUCUGCACUUAAAAUGAUGCACAGAGUUUAGAAGAGAAGAUUGGGUGAGAGCUCUGCAUCUCUAAAAACAGCUGCCCUUGCCCGGAUCAUGCUCCGCAAAUGUUCUGACCUAAGGCUCGAAUCAGAUGCAUAGGUUAUAUUGACUCAAGUCGAAUAUCUAUUUUUGGGUUUAAGUGCAUAUGUAUUUUCAAUGGCAAAUUAAAGUUUAUAAAAUGGAAUAUGAUAAAAGAUAAAUGCAAAACCAAAGAGAAAUUGAUACCUUGAUAUUUUCAGUGAACUUUAUCAAAAUUCAAAAUUGAAUAUAUAUAUUUAUUUAAUUAUAUAUAAUAUGUAUAUAUAUGAAUAUAUAGAGAUAUAGAUAUCCAUAUACAUAAUAUAUUAUAUAAAAUAUAUAAAUAUAUAUAUAUAUAUAAAUGCUACAUAAAUAUACGACCUCAGACUUCUAAAGCUGAAUAUAACAAUGGAAUUAAAAGUUAAAAAUUAGAUCUUCUGGGCAUCUUAGAAUUUUGAAAUCUUUGAAUAUAGGAAAUUUAGCAAGAACUUUAAAAUGCUUAAAUGGUUUUACCAUUGUAUUCUGCUGGAUUUUAUUUUAUGGUAAUCAAAGUUGUCAGAAGGUCAGAGACUCAUAAAUAGAGAACAGAGCAUCAAAAAGCUCAUUGACAAGCCUAAUGCACAUGCUGUCUCUUCUUUAAAAAAUGAAUAAAGAUGACAAGAAACAUUUUGCUCUUCUUUUGUAAGACGCAGAAUAAACUGUCAUCUUUUCUCUUAUGAAUAGAAAAUGCAUGACAUAAAAUAGGAAACAAAAAAUAUAGAAACGUAGAAAAUGUGUCAUAAAAUAGAAAACAGAAAAUGUGCCAUCUCAUGUACUAAAUUUAUCUGAUGACAUCGCAAAAGAAAUAACCUAGUCACUGAGUUUAACAUUUUGAUGUCUUAUGUAAUCAUAACCAUUGACAUGAACUUUAUAUGUGUUUUCUGUCUAUCAAAGUUCAUGGUCAUGAAAAAAAACGUAAACUAUUUUUACUAACAUUUUUAAAGUGAAGAAGAAAGCCUUAUUGUAUAAUUUAUAGUGGAUUCUAACUUCAUUGCCAAGAAUAAUACAUUAUAGUUUCUUAGUCAUUUUCAUUAUUUGUAAGAGUGUUAAACAACUCCUAAUCAUUUUACUUAUUUUUAAAGUUAAUAAAGCAAUAUAUGUAAUAUGUAAAAACAUUUUCCAUGUAAAGUUAAAUUUAGAAAGUGUAAAAAUUGGUGUGUCACUGUUCACCCUUAUUCCGCCCUUGCUCCCUCAAGUUCUGAUUUCCCAGUAGGAAUUCCAUAAAAUAGAAUAGCUUAUUAGAAUUGUAGUUGAUAUGCAAUUAGGUAAAAUGUUAAUUUGAGCACAACACAUCUUUAUAAUCUUGAACCUUCCUCUAUUACUAUAGUUUUAUUAUUAUUUAUUAGUAUGUUUUUUCAUUUAUUCAGAUAUUAUUUCUGUCUCUCAAUGUGGUUUUAUAAUUUUCUUGAUAUAAAUUCCAAGAACCUAAAAUCAUUGCUUUAUCACCUUUUGAUGCUUUUGGACUUGUCACCCAGGUGAAAUUCAUUUUGAACUACAGAUAAAGAGAUACUUGUUAUCAAUAAUUGUGACUGUCUGAGAGUUCACUCUCUUUACAAGCUAGCUGUUUAGCCUGUUCCAUUUUCAUGACUGUUUCAAGACAGCAGGAGGUUCUGGGUCAGAGACAAAGAAUAGUUUAUUACUGGAAGCAAUAGCCAGUCACUUGACUCUGGGUCCCAGAAGCCUAAACACAGGGCAUUGUGAAGAGAGCCAGGUGACACUUGCCUGCCAAGUAGACUGUGGUACAGCACAAACGAAGCUGUGGGAAUCUCCUCUUCUCAUCGCGGGCAUUCAACAUUCCUGCUCUGCUUCAGAAGGAGGAGCUCUAUUUUUCAAGACUAAACAAACCUGCUCUUCUCUCUGUAAGGUCAUGGAUUUUCUUCUGACUCUGGACCUGCUGAGAAGAGUUCUGUGUUAUUUUAU